UUUACCCUCAAACAGCCCUUUAAAGUUGUGGGUUGUCCAGCAUUUUGGCCCCACAGAGCUGUCGGGACCCCACAAGUGUACUGAAGUCCUGGUUUUUGGACCCCA